AUUUUUUUUUUCCAAAGGCUAAACACAAACCAGAAGGCAGCAGACGGCAGAGCGCUGGCUCCACUGUCCUUUCGGGACACGCUUGGAGACGCUCGUCUUUAUUUCUUCCCUCUUGUUUCACCCCAAGAAAAAAAAUCUUCCUUAAUUUUUAGGAGCUGCUACAAAUUUAUCCCAGGAAUCCCAAGGUGAUGCCACCCCACUGGCUUGGCCCUGGGGAAUUCCUCACGGUGCUGUUUGUUACAGACUUUUCCAGAGAAAACUUUUUCUUUCCGUGCAAUAAAUUUUCCACUUACAUUUUUAAGGGAAGAAAAUGUUUUCCGGUGCUUUUGCUGCCUCUCUGUCAGGAAUGAUUACUCCCAGAUUUAUUGGGAUUUGCAAAGGAGGCAGCGAUACCUGGGAUCUUCGAAACUUGCCGGGAUAAUGAUGCAGGCAGAGCUUGGCAGCCUCAGAUCUGAUUUAUGGAGCAAGAUUUCAUCCGUCCCGGAAAAAUCCUUGAAAAUCGCAGGAGAGCUCCUCGAAAUGCAGCAGGAAACGAAAGCGCCGAGCUCGGGUGGAUCCCGUCCCUCGGUUUGUUUUCUCGGGAUUGGAUUCCUGGAUUGUUGUUGAGAAUUUCGGGCAGGGUUUGACACCAAACGCUGCUCCAGAGGCAGCUCCGGCACCACGGCGGGAGCAGAGAGCUUCCAACAACGCGGAAAACGACAAAGGAAAAUUGAGAAAAAUUGAAUUUUUAAGAAAUUCGUUCUUUUCCUGGGGAAAAUUCCCUCCUUGGCAGUGCUGAGUGUCCGGCUGUUAUCGCUCCCUGCUUCAGCUUCGUACGGAAAACUGCAAAAUCAGAAUGUAUUUCUACAAAUUUGGGGUCCAUGCAGUUAUUUCCAUGUGAUUUCCACAUGCUCAUCCUCAUUUUCCUGUCAUCCAGACACGAAAUUCCAUGAUUUUAAUGUCUGUGUGCUGCUAAUAUGAAUUAACAUGGAAAUAUAUUAUUUUGGGGCAAAAUUAUGAUUAUAUUUGA
rnacentral:lncRNA from 1 species